GACGACGCUGGCGGCGUGCUUAACACAUGCAAGUCGAACGAGUGGCGGACGGGUGAGUAAUUUCUGGGCACCUGCCUGAUGUAGGGGGAUAACUACUGGAACCGGUAGCUAAUACCGCAUACCAUCGGAUCUGCCCAGAUGGGAUUAGCUAGUGGGUGGGGUAAAGGCUCACCUAGGCGACGAUCCCUAGCUGGUCUGAGAGGAGGACCGGCCACACUGGAACUGAGACACGGGCCAGACUCCUACGGGAGGCAGCAGUAGGGAAUAUUGGACAAUGGGCGAAAGCCUGAUGGAGCCAUGCCGCGUGUAUGAAGAAGGCUUUCGGAUUGUAAAGUACUGGCAGCGGGGAGGCGUUACCCAAAGAAGAAGCAACGGCUAACUCCGUGCCAGCAGCCGCGGUAAUUC
rnacentral:rRNA from 1 species